UCACUCACGGUCGAUUCAGCAACCAGCGAAGACCGUAUCCGUUUCCUCUUACGCGUGACAGCGCGCCGUGAGCUGAAAUGUGCGGCCUGGGAAGACAGACACGGCCUGGAGAAGAGAGGUCCUAAGAGUUACCGUACCAAUGGCAAGAGUUACCGCAACAGCACCCAUGACAUCGCCACGCUCGGCAGGCCGAGGAGCCACCAAGAGAACCUACAGGUUCACCUACGCUGAGACCUGCGGUGUUCUAAAAGUGCGGUGGGUGAUGGUAGGAUAUACAAGCGUACCGGCCCACCUGAAGCAAUGGAGACCGUACCUAUUUCUUCUCGCGGAUAGCGCACCGCAAGCCGAAAUCACGGUGCAGCCGCUUGAAGGGAGGCAAGGAGCUGGGGAAGACUAAUGCUGAAAGCUACCGUAACGCCCGCGACAACGUCCACGGCAUCGCCCAGCCAGCUCACCGUAUGCUUCUCCUCGGAGCCUCCAGCCUCAUCUACAAAAGUGACAUUGGUGUUCGAAAAGCUUUGCAUCAGCUCUGAACCCCAAAUCAGAGGAAGGGCGUGUGUCAGGUACUGAAGCCGAUUGAAGAAGCCACGAGUGCCGAAAAGUGAUGCGCGAGUGCCGUACACCCCCGUGUUGUAUGCAGCCAAGUUCCUGAGGCACCGUGAAGAAAGACGGACUGUUGACGUGACGUGAUAUCACCACUUGGUAGGUGAGGGAACUUGAUGCGUGCACUCAUGUCUAGCGGAGCAAUCGACGUAAGACAGGACAGCAACAGCUACCGAUCAGCCACGUUGUAUACAGUACAAGAAGCACCAUGAACACUCGACUGGUGAUAUCACACCUGUAAGUUGAUCUUACUCAACUUGCUCCAAUGACGUGACGCCGAUGAUUCCUUUACACUUGCUUUAUAUAGCCGUAAAGCUGUUGUAAUUAUAUCCAAGAAAAUGUUAGCCUGGUCAUCUUGUUCUUAUGCCUGUGAUUUGACUUCUUUUGGAGUGACAAGAAGCUGGGAAGGAGACGUCUCGGCAGCUGCCAGUCAGGAGAGACUACCCAGUGUUCGUGUCAGAAGUUAUUGUUGUAUUUUCGUGAGAGCUUACGUGUCCCAUAUAUGUAAUUCGUAGGCAAACGAGUUUGAUUUAACGUUCUUCGUAGAGAAUCUAGUCUUAUUCACGUAAUUCGUAGAAAGGUGACCAAGUGUUUUGUAAUUGCUUUCCUUGAUUUUCGCGUGAUAUGUAAGGAGUUCUUCUGAAUUCAGUGUAAAGCGUAAUCAGACCAACCACCCCCAGGCAGGCAGGCAUUCUUAGCAACCUCAAGUUUUAUCAGCAACAUUUUUAUUUUCAUUUUCAAAUUGUAUUAUGCUAUUCCAGUACUGGACUCUCGAUGGCUGGCUCCAAAUUUUU